GUAAGGAAUAUUGGACAAUGGACGCAAGUCUGAUCCAGCCAUGCCGCGUGAAGGAUUAAGGUCCUCUGGAUUGUAAACUUCUUUUAUAAGGGACGAAAAAAGGCUUUUCUAAGUCGUCUGACGGUACCUUAUGAAUAAGCACCGGCUAACUCCGUGCCAGCAGCCGCGGUAAUACGGAGGGUGCAAGCGUUAUCCGGAUUCACUGGGUUUAAAGGGUGCGUAGGCGGGCAGGUAAGUCAGUGGUGAAAUACUAGAGCUUAACUCUAGAACUGCCAUUGAUACUAUCUGUCUUGAAUAUUGUGGAGGUAAGCGGAAUAUGUCAUGUAGCGGUGAAAUGCUUAGAUAUGACAUAGAACACCUAUUGCGAAGGCAGCUUACUACGCAUAUAUUGACGCUGAGGCACGAAAGCGUGGGGAUCAAACAGGAUUAGAAACCCCUGUAGUCC
rnacentral:rRNA from 1 species